rnacentral:rRNA from 1 species
GUGAGAAUCCCGUACGUGGUCGCUAGCCUCUACCGUGUAAAGCCCCUUCGACGAGUCGAGUUGUUUGGGAAUGCAGCUCUAAAUGGGAGGUAAAUUUCUUCUAAAGCUAAAUACUGGCCAGAGACCGAUAGCGCACAAGUAGAGUGAUCGAAAGAUGAAAAGCACUUUGGAAAGAGAGUUAAAAAGCACGUGAAAUUGUUGAAAGGGAAGCGCUUGCAGCCAGACUUGCCUGUAGUUGCUCAUCCGGGUUUCUACCCGGUGCACUCUUCUAUAGGCAGGCCAGCAUCAGUUUGGGCGGUUGGAUAAAGGUCUCUGUCAUGUACCUCCUCUCGGGGAGAACUUAUAGGGGAGACGACAUGCAACCAGCCCGGACUGAGGUCCGCGCAUCUGCUAGGAUGCUGGCGUAAUGGCUGUAAGCGGCCCGUCUUGAAACACGGACCAAGGAGUCUAACAUCUAUGCGAGUGUUUGGGUGUCAAGCCCGAACGCGUAAUGAAAGUGAACGGAGGUGGGAACCUUUCGGGGUGCACCAUCGACCGAUCCUGAUGUCUUCGGAUGGAUUUGAGUAAGAGCAUAGCUGUUGGGACCCGAAAGAUGGUGAACUAUGCUUGAAUAGGGUGAAGCCAGAGGAAACUCUGGUGGAGGCUCGCAGCGGUUCUGACGUGCAAAUCGAUCGUCAAAUUUGGGCAUAGGGGCGAAAGACUAAUCGAACAUCAGUG